rnacentral:rRNA from 1 species
GAUGAACGCUGGCGGCGUGCCUAAUACAUGCAAGUCGAGCGAACGGACGAGAAGCUUGCUUCUCUGACGUUAGCGGCGGACGGGUGAGUAACACGUGGAUAACCUACCUAUAAGACUGGGAUAACUUCGGGAAACCGGAGCUAAUACCGGAUAAUAUUUUGAACCGCAUGGUUCAAUAGUGAAAGACGGUCUUGCUGUCACUUAUAGAUGGAUCCGCGCCGCAUUAGCUAGUUGGUAAGGUAACGGCUUACCAAGGCGACGAUGCAUAGCCGACCUGAGAGGGUGAUCGGCCACACUGGAACUGAGACACGGUCCAGACUCCUACGGGAGGCAGCAGUAGGGAAUCUUCCGCAAUGGGCGAAAGCCUGACGGAGCAACGCCGCGUGAGUGAUGAAGGUCUUCGGAUCGUAAAACUCUGUUAUUAGGGAAGAACAAAUGUGUAAGUAACUGUGCACAUCUUGACGGUACCUAAUCAGAAAGCCACGGCUAACUACGUG